AGGUACCAGGAAUGGUGGGAGGGACAAUCUGAAUGUAUUUAUCUUUGCACACAAGAGCAGCGUCCAGGCAUCCAGAAUACUCCCCCUAUCACCUGCUGUACGGACGCGAGCCGCAACUGUUUACUGAGAAGUUGUCGAACAAGAUCAGAAUGCCUUCGAGGACCACCUGACUGAGAAGGAGGUUUUUGACCAGGGACCAUCCAUUACCUCCCUCAUCAACCCCACUGACAGGACCUAGGGGUUCGGCCCAACACCCAGACCCACCUGAUGUCCUCCAUUUCCUGUUCUCCAGGACCUAGGGGUUCUGCCCAACACCCAGACGUGGAUCCACCUGAUGUCCUCCAUUUCCUGUUCUCCAGGACCUAGGGGUUCUGCCCAACACCCAGACCCAACUGAUGUCCUCCAUUUCCUGUUCUCCAGGAACUAGGGGUUCUGCCCAACACCCAGACGUGGAUCCACCUGAUGUCCUCCAUUUCCUGUUCUCCAGGACCUAGGGGUUCUGCCCAACACCCAGACGU